rnacentral:rRNA from 1 species
CACGUAGUUAGCCGGCGCUUCUUCUGCAGGUACCGUCACCUUGCGGCUUCUUCCCUACUGAAAGAGGUUUACAACCCGAAGGCCGUCAUCCCUCACGCGGCGUCGCUGCAUCAGGCUUUCGCCCAUUGUGCAAUAUUCCCCACUGCUGCCUCCCGUAGGAGUCUGGGCCGUGUCUCAGUCCCAGUGUGGCCGGUCACCCUCUCAGGCCGGCUACCCGUCGUCGCCUUGGUAGGCCAUUACCCCACCAACAAGCUGAUAGGCCGCGAGUCCAUCCAAAACCGCAAAAGCUUUCCACCAACCACCAUGCGAUGAUCAGUCAUAUCCGGUAUUAGACCCAGUUUCCCAGGCUUAUCCCAGAGUCAAGGGCAGGUUACUCACGUGUUACUCACCCGUUCGCCACUAAUCCACCAGCAAGCUGGUUUCAUCGUUCGACUUGCAUGUGUUAAGCACGCCGCCAGCGUUCAUCCUGAGCCAGGAUCAAACUCU